rnacentral:rRNA from 1 species
UUUGGUGGUCAUAGCGUGAGCAAUACACCCAGCCCCCAUUCCGAACCUGGCCGUUAAGUGCCACCGCGCCAAUGGUACUGCGUCUCAAGACGUGGGAGAGUAGGUCACCGCCAAAC